UACGUAGGGUGCAAGCGUUGUCCGGAAUUAUUGGGCGUAAAGAGCUCGUAGGCGGUUUGUCGCGUCUGCUGUGAAAACUCGGGGCUUAACUCCGGGCCUGCAGUGGGUACGGGCAGACUAGAGUGCGGUAGGGGAGACUGGAAUUCCUGGUGUAGCGGUGAAAUGCGCAGAUAUCAGGAGGAACACCGGUGGCGAAGGCGGGUCUCUGGGCCGUAACUGACGCUGAGGUGCGAAAGCGUGGGGAGCGAACAGG
rnacentral:rRNA from 1 species